rnacentral:rRNA from 1 species
GAAGGNCCUUCGGGGUACUCGAGUGGCGAACGGGUGAGUAACACNUGNGUGAUCUGCCCUGCACUUUGGGAUAAGCCUGGGAAACUGGGUCUAAUACCGAAUAGGACCACGCGCUUCAUGGUGUGUGGUGGAAAGCUUUUGCGGUGUGGGAUGGGCCCGCGGCCUAUCAGCUUGUUGGUGGGGUAAUGGCCUACCAAGGCGACGACGGGUAGCCGGCCUGAGAGGGUGACCGGCCACACUGGGACUGAGAUACGGCCCAGACUCCUACGGGAGGCAGCAGUGGGGAAUAUUGCACAAUGGGCGCAAGCCUGAUGCAGCGACGCCGCGUGAGGGAUGACGGCCUUCGGGUUGUAAACCUCUUUCAAUAGGGACGAAGCGCAAGUGACGGUACCUAUAGAAGAAGCACCGGCCAACUACGUGCCAGCAGCCGCGGUAAUACGUAGGGUGCGAGCGUUGUCCGGAAUUACUGGGCGUAAAGAGCUCGUAGGUGGUUUGUCGCGUUGUUCGUGAAAACUCACAGCUUAACUGUGGGCGUGCGGGCGAUACGGGCAGACUAGAGUACUGCAGGGGAGACUGGAAUUCCUGGUGUAGCGGUGGAAUGCGCAGAUAUCAGGAGGAACACCGGUGGCGAANGCGGGUCUCUGGGCAGUAACUGACGCUGAGGAGCGAAAGCGUGGGGAGCGAACAGGAUUANAUACCCUGGUAGUCCACGCCGUAAACGGUGGGUACUAGGUGUGGGUUCCUUCCUUGGGAUCCGUGCCGUANCUAACGCAUUAAGUACCCCGCCUGGGGAGUACGGCCGCAAGGCUAAAACUCAAAGGAAUUGACGGGGGCCCGCACAAGCGGCGGAGCAUGUGGAUUAAUUCNAUGCAACGCGAANAACCUUACCUGGGUUUGANNUGCACAGGACGCCGGCAGANAUGUCNGUNCCCUUGUGGNCUGUGUGCAGGUGGUGCAUGGCUGUCGUCAGCUC